AACGAACGCUGGCGGCGUGGAUAAGACAUGCAAGUCGAACGGGACAGGUAGCAAUAUCUGUCUAGUGGCGAACGGGUGCGUAACACGUGGGCAACAUGCCUGGAAGAGCGGGAUAGCCCGGGGAAACUCGGAUUAAUACCGCAUGUGACAACGGGGCGGCUUAGCCCUGUUUUCAAAGGUGGGGACGGCAAGGCCUGCCGCUUCCAGAUUGGCCCGCGUCCCAUCAGCUAGUUGGCGGGGUAAAAGCCCACCAAGGCGACGACGGGUAGCUGGUCUGAGAGGACGACCAGCCACACUGGAACUGAGACACGGUCCAGACACCUACGGGUGGCAGCAGUCGAGAAUCUUUCACAAUGGGGGAAACCCUGAUGGAGCGACGCCGCGUGGAGGAUGACGGUCUUCGGAUUGUAAACUCCUGUCAUGAAAGAACAAGCGGAGCGGGUGAACAGCCCGCCGAGUUGAUAGUAUUUCAAGAGGAAGGGACGGCUAACUUCGUGCCAGCAGCCGCCGUAACAC
rnacentral:rRNA from 1 species